UACGAAGGGUGCAAGCGUUACUCGGAAUUACUGGGCGUAAAGAGCUCGUAGGUGGUUUGUCGCGUUGUUCGUGAAAACCGGGGGCUUAACCCUCGGCGUGCGGGCGAUACGGGCAGACUGGAGUACUGCAGGGGAGAACGGAAUUCCCGGUGUAGCGGUGAAAUGCGCAGAUAUCGGGAGGAACACCGGUGGCGAAGGCGGCCUUCUGGCUCAUAACUGACGCUGUAGCGCGAAAGCGUGGGGAGCGAACGGG
rnacentral:rRNA from 1 species